CGUCGCUGCUCACCAGGCACUGAAGUUGGAGGGGGGAAGAGAGUAAAGAAGGGUGUAUUCUCCGUUUCAGUUCAGUGCUUGACUAGGAAAACCACAUAGUCUUGACCGGUGGGCUCAAGGCUCUAAUGGAAGCUGGUUCUGAUUGUAACUGUCUCAGCUUAAGAGGCGAGGAAAUGAGAACAAGUAACAAGUGCAUUUUUCACCUGAUAAGAAUAAAUUAAGUGGAAGAAUUGAACUUUCAUAGUAUGGCUGCUGAAGGAUCAACACAUGUAGUUGGAAGAUGAAAUUUCCAUUGAUUCCCCAGCCUGAGAGAGUGCAGGCAGCACCAUGUACUGAUGAUUAAAACAAAUAUAUGGAUGAAACACAGUCCUGGCCCACAAGAAACUUCAAGCUUGUUACAGAAGCAGAAGUUCAACUGGUCCUUAAGAAAUGAAAGACCUUCAGUGAAGGUUGAAAGUCCUUCAGUUCAAUCAUGUCACACUUUGAGCAACUCUGGUCUCCUUAGGUCCAUCAUCUGUCCUCAUGGCUCACAGGUGUGCAGGGCGGUUAUGUCCAGGACUAUGGAAUGGACCCUGAUGCUGGGAAAGGCUGAAGAAAGAAGGAGAAGACAGCAACAGACGAUGAGAUGGUUGGGUGGCAUCACUGACUCAAUGGACAUGAACUUGGGCAAACUCCAGGAGAUAGUGAAGGACAGGGAAGCCUGGUGUGUCCGUGGUGUCGCAAAGAGUCAGAUAUGAAUUGGCAACUGAACAACAACAACCCAGGACAAAAAUGGUUACUUCCCACCCAGUUGAAAUACGCUUUCUGUGGAAGGGUAAGAAUCCCAGAAAGUCUGUGGGGCUGGCUUUUGGAGUAAAGAAAUGAGUAAAAUUUUCUCUAGAUUUUC